GGUCGGUUAGCUCGGUCGGCAGAGCAUCGCAAUUACAAUCAUCCAUGUAUUCAUGGAACAAGAGUUACUGCGGAGGCCAUAGGUUCAAGCCCUAUACUGACCA